UACAGAGGUCUCGAGCGUUGUUCGGAUUCAUUGGGCGUAAAGGGUGCGUAGGUGGCGUGGUAAGUCGGAUGUGAAAUCCCGGGGCUCAACCCCGGAACUGCAUUCGAUACUGCCAUGCUAGGGUACUGGAGAGGAGAUUGGAAUUUACGGUGUAGCAGUGAAAUGCGUAGAUAUCGUAAGGAAGACCAGUGGCGAAGGCGGAUCUCUGGACAGUUACUGACACUGAGGCACGAAGGCCAGGGGAGCAAACGGG
rnacentral:rRNA from 1 species